rnacentral:rRNA from 1 species
CAGGCCUAACACAUGCAAGUCGAACGAUGCUUUCGGGCAUAGUGGCGCACGGGUGCGUAACGCGUGGGAAUCUGCCCUUAGGUUCGGAAUAACAGUUAGAAAUGACUGCUAAUACCGGAUGAUGUCGAUAAGACCAAAGAUUUAUCGCCUGAGGAUGAGCCCGCGUAGGAUUAGCUAGUUGGUGUGGUAAAGGCGCACCAAGGCGACGAUCCUUAGCUGGUCUGAGAGGAUGAUCAGCCACACUGGGACUGAGACACGGCCCAGACUCCUACGGGAGGCAGCAGUGGGGAAUAUUGGACAAUGGGCGCAAGCCUGAUCCAGCAAUGCCGCGUGAGUGAUGAAGGCCUUAGGGUUGUAAAGCUCUUUUACCCGGGAUGAUAAUGACAGUACCGGGAGAAUAAGCCCCGGCUAACUCCGUGCCAGCAGCCGCGGUAAU